AGGGUUCGAUUCUGGCUCAGGAUGAACGCUGGCGGCGUGCCUAACACAUGCAAGUCGAACGGAGCUUACUUGAAGGAGACUUCGGUCAACGGAAGGGUAAGCUUAGUGGCGGACGGGUGAGUAACGCGUGGAGAACCUGCCCUGUACAGGGGGAUAACAGUGAGAAAUCACUGCUAAUACCGCAUAAGCGCACAGUACCGCAUGGUACAGUGUGAAAAACUCCGGUGGUACAGGAUGGCUCCGCGUUGGAUUAGCCAGUUGGAGGGGUAACGGCCCACCAAAGCGACGAUCCAUAGCCGGCCUGAGAGGGUGAACGGCCACAUUGGGACUGAGACACGGCCCAGACUCCUACGGGAGGCAGCAGUGGGGAAUAUUGCACAAUGGGGGAAACCCUGAUGCCAGCGACGCCGCGUGAAGGAAGAAGUAUCUCGGUAUGUAAACUUCUAUCAGCAGGGAAGAUGAUGACGGUACCUGACUAAGAAGCCCCGGCUAACUACGUGCCAGCCGCCGC
rnacentral:rRNA from 1 species